rnacentral:rRNA from 1 species
GAUGAACGCUGGCGGCGUGCCUAAUACAUGCCAGUCGAGCGAACAGACGAGGAGCUUGCUCCUCUGACGUUAGCGGCGGACGGGUGAGUAACACGUGGAUAACCUACCUAUAAGACUGGGAUAACUUCGGGAAACCGGAGCUAAUACCGGAUAAUAUAUUGAACCGCAUGGUUCAAUAGUGAAAGACGGUUUUGCUGUCACUUAUAGAUGGAUCCGCGCCGCAUUAGCUAGUUGGUAAGGUAACGGCUUACCAAGGCAACGAUGCGUAGCCGACCUGAGAGGGUGAACGGCCACACUGGAACUGAGACACGGUCCAGACUCCUACGGGAGGCAGCAGUAGGGAAUCUUACGCAAUGGGCGAAAGCCUGACGGAGCAACGCCGAGUGAGUGAUGAAGGUCUUCGGAUCGUAAAACUCUGUUAUUAGGGAAGAACAAAUGUGUAAGUAACUAUGCACGUCUUGACGGUACCUAAUCAGAAAGCCACGGCUAACUACGUG